GACGAACGCUGGCGGCGUGCUUAACACAUGCAAGUCGUACGGUAAGGCCCUUUCGGUGGUACACGAGUGGCUAACGGGUGAGUAACACGUGAGUAACCUGCCCACAACUUUGGGAGAACGCGAGGAAACUGGUGCUAAUACUGGAUAUGUGCUCCUGCUGCAUGGUGGGGGUUGGAAAGCUCCGGCGGUUGUGGAUGGACUCGCGGCCUAUCAGCUUGGUGGUGGGGUAGUGGCCUACCAAGGCGGCGACGGGUAGCCGGCCUGAGAGGGUGACCGGCCACAUUGGGACUGCGAUACGGACCAGACUCCUACGGGAGGCAGCAGUGGGGAAUAUUGCACAAUGGGCGCAAGCCUGAUGCAGCAACGCCGCGUGCGGGAUGACGGGCUUCGGGUUGUAAACCGCUUUCAGCAGGGACGAAGCUUUUUGUGACGGUACCUGCAGAAGAAGCACCGGCUAACUACGUG
rnacentral:rRNA from 1 species